AACGCACCUUGCGCUCCUUGGUAUUCCGAGGAGCAUGCCUGUUUGAGUGUCAUUAAAUUCUCAACCUCUCCAGCUUUUUGGCUGGACGAGGAUUGGAUGUGGGGGUGUGCUGGCUUCGUCAAGAGGUCGGCUCCCCUUAAAUGCAUUGGCAAAUGCGUGUGCAUGAAUCGGCCUUUCGGUGUGGUAAUGAUCACCGUGGCUGGAUUGCUUUAACGUCUAUGCCCAACCUUUUCCAUUGACUUGGAAAAACCCCACUUGACAUUUUGACCUCAAAUCAGGUAGGACUACCCGCUGAACUUAA
rnacentral:rRNA from 1 species